ACGAAGGGUGCAAGCGUUGUUCGGAUUUAUUGGGCGUAAAGCGCGCGCAGGCGGGUUAUUAAGUCAGGUGUGAAAUCUUAGGGCUCAACCCUGAAACUGCGCCUGAAACUGGUAAUCUAGAAUGUCGGAGGGGGAAGGGGAAUUUCGCGUGUAGGGGUGAAAUCCGGAGAUAUGCGGAGGAAUACCAGAGGCGAAGGCGCCUUCCUAGACGAUGAUUGACACUGAGGCGCGAAAGCGUGGGGAGCAAACAG
rnacentral:rRNA from 1 species